UGAAUAAUGAUAAGUAAACCUGUUUUAUAGUAGAUAUUCUAGAAACAUAACAUUAGAUGACAUUUUGUGUACAAGUGAUUUAUUAAAAACAUGGAUCAAGAAGUAUGAGGGAAAAGGGACAGAAAAGGAGAUUUUAUUUUGGAUAAAACUACACAGUGGGUACUUUCAGCCUGACUCACAAGAGCUCUGGAGUGUUUGGUUGUAAACUGGAGUUGCUCUGAACUGGAACAGUGGAGUACAGGGGCGUUCAGAGUCUCUUACUCAUCUUAGGGUAUAUGUGUACAUGUAGUGAGAAGGAAGGGGAGGUGACAAGAAUUUUAAGGCAUUUCCUGCCCUCUAUUCAUGAGGGAGGUAUGGGCUCCCACAGUGUGAGGGCCAUUGUUGCUAAAAAGAGCCACCACUACUAUUAUUUGAAGACAAACACACUCAAGCCGAGACACUCAAAAAUGGAAAAAAGGUGAACUGAAGCAUCUUCAUGGAGUGCAGUUAUUAUCUAUUCCUGUGUGCCUGUCAGGUAGCAGAGGGGCUGCUGACAGCUUAUAGGAGGAAAGAAAUAACUAACGUGGGAUGGGGUCUGUGGCUUGCUUCUAACCAAUAAAAUAUGACAAAGGUGAUGAUGGGAUGUCACUACUUUUAUUAAGUCACAUUACUUGACAAAAGCAAUAGGAUGUCACUCUCAAGAUUAUGAUUCACUGUAUGAGGCUCUGUCUUAGCAGACUGUGGAGAAAGACCAUCUGACCUUGAAGAAGGAGAUAAAUAGCUAUCUUAUGAACAGCUUGUGGAAAUUCAAAUGGCAGUGGAAGAAGCUUCUUCGUCCCGAGUGGAAGUGGCCUCUCCACCCCUUCUAAGAGGAUUAACCCUACGUCGACCAAGGAAACUAGAAUGGCGCCCUUUGUGGUAGCCGCCGUUCAAGACAAUGCUGAUUCUUUGCUGGACCCACCCCACCACCCCUCUUUAGAUUUAGACCUAUAACUAGGCUUAAGUCCUCACAGACCCCUACAGAUGAAGUACAAAUGUGACCCAUGUGGAGGUGCUCUACACUCCAAAAAAACUACUUGAAUUUUCUAAUUUAUUCAGAAAGGAAUCCAGGGAGCAUGCAUGGGAAUAGUUUUUAAGGAUGUGAGAUAGUGAAAGAAACAAAGUUGAGUCAGGCUGGAGUCAUUGGUGGGCUCACUAAAUAGAGAUUCUGUGUUAAUGUUGCAGCUUGAGGUGGUAGAAAUGGCUCAAACUGGUUGGUUGGUUGAUUGGUUGGUUGGUUGGUUGGUUGGUUGACUGGCUCAAACAUGGACCAAAAAUUGCCCACAGCUGAUGAGCAGAAAAUGCCAGACCUACCUUGGUUUAAAGUGGAGAAAGGGAUUCAAAAACUUAGGGAGAUUGGAAUGUUAGAGUAAAUGUGUCAGGUAAGAUUUACUUACUCAUACUUGGAGAGUCCGGAGAUAUAUCUUUCACUGAUUCUGUGAGAAAUAAUUUUCUAUAUCAUCUUUGAUAUAUCAUCUUUGAAGAGCUCAGCAAUCCUCCUCUUCUCUGGAAUCCUGGCCUUGCAGUGGGAACUGGAGUCACCACAUCGGGAAAAUGAAAUGCACUGUAAUUGCAUCUCAGGAUGGCAGAGACCAAAUGAUAGCACUCCACCACCAAAGAUGAGGUGGGCAUAAUUACUCUGAUAUCCAGCAGAGUCAAAGCAAAGAACAGAAUAGUCUGCCUCACAAAGAUCAUUUAAGUAGUUGAUCAUGGUAUUCCUAGUAGCCUAUUAAAUUUUGCUUGGUUUGCACAAGCAGAAAAGUUCUCAGUCAAGUAAACAAAAGUCGAACCCUGAAUCCAAAAAUAAAGUCAUUGUCCAUCAGCAAUUUUCAGAUUUGAGUCAGUUUACAGUCCCAGGACCCCCCGAAUUAAGGGGAGACCAGGUUCCCUUGAAGAAGGAUUCCAAUACCCUGCCCAAAAUUGAGCCUGUUAAUCUUUUUCCUGUCCUUCCUUAGAGGGACACAUGACUUUUCACCAGGGUAACUGUGCAUUGGAGAAAAGAAAAUAAUAAGAACCUUUGAGGAAUACAGGGCACUGGUUCUGAAUCGAUACUAAUUCCAGGAGACACAAAAUGUGACUGGGAUUCAGUCAGAGAAGGGACUAUGGAGGUCAGGUGACCAAUGGAGUUCUAGCCUAGUUCUGUUUCACAGUGAGCCCAUUGAGUCCCUGAACCCAUCUUGUGGUUAUUACCCCAGUUCUGGAAUGUAUAUUUGGAAUAGACAGUAAUUGGCAGAAUGCCCAGAUAGGCUCCCUGAUCUAUAGAGUGAGGGCUAUUAUGGGAAAGGCCAAGUGGGAACCCUUAGAACUUCUUCUAUAUAGGAAAAUAAGGCAAUAUCACAUUCCUGGAAGGAUUGCUGAUAUUUGUGCCACAAUCUAGGACUUGAAGUAUGUACAGGUGGUGAUUUUCACCACAUCCUCAUUCAGUUCAUCUACUUGCCCUUUGUAGAGGACAGAUGGUUCUUGGAGAAUUGCAAUAGAUUAUCAUAGGCUUAAACAGGUAGUGACUUCAGUUACAACUACUGUACCAAUGUGGUUUCAUUGCUUAAGCUAAUCAACACGUCCCCUUGUAUCUUGAUCAUAGAUAUAAAUAAUAAAAAUGCUGUUGCUUGGUGGACACAACUUUGUACAUCAUGCCACAAUUGUACCUAGGCUUCACUUCAGAAUGGCAUAUUAUGAUAAAUGUGUGUUUUGUUUUGUUUUGUUUUGUUUUGGCAGAUGAUCUAGGGCAAAGAGAAGCCAUUCUUUAGAUAGAGCCUUCCACAAUAUUGUCGAGGAGUUUUUAUGUAUAUUUAUUCCUUUGUGCUUAUGGUAGAAUUAUUUCCUCCUUGUGAAGAUGUAUUGCUACAUUUCUCCACCUAAGCUAAGAGAAUCUUUGCAGAAGAUUUUAAAAUAUAAUUCUAUGUGUAUGACCCUUGUAUGUGUUUUAUAUCAAUUACAGUUACAAACACUACACUAUUUACAAUGUUCUAUUUUGCUGAUUUUGCCCUUAGACCCAGAAUAGUUCCUGACUUUGCUGUUUAUGCAAUGUUCUAUUUAAAGAAAUACUUCACUCUGAGAUUUUUAAAACUCAUCUGCUCCUUUUUUUUUUUUUUUUUAUCACCACUUCCAUAAAAUGACUGAUCAAAAUUAGUCAUUGCUAUAAGUAGCAUUACUAUUUGGAAUACGCCAGUAUACUUCAAAAUAAAAGUUCAGAGUAUAAUUACCAAA